CCUACGGGUGGCAGCAGUAGGGAAUAUUGCACAAUGGGGGAAACCCUGAUGCAGCGACGCCGCGUGAGUGAAGAAGUAUUUCGGUACGUAAAGCUCUAUCAGCAGGGAAGAAAAUGACGGUACCUGACUAAGAAGCCCCGGCUAACUACGUGCCAGCAGCCGCGGUAAUACGUAGGGGGCAAGCGUUAUCCGGAUUUACUGGGUGUAAAGGGAGCGUAGACGGCAGCGCAAGUCUGGAGUGAAAUCCCAUGGCUUAACCAUGGAACUGCUUUGGAAACUGUGCAGCUAGAGUGCAGGAGAGGUAAGCGGAAUUCCGAGUGUAGCGGUGAAAUGCGUAGAUAUUAGGAGGAACACCAGUGGCGAAGGCGGCUUACUGGACUGUAACUGACGUUGAGGCUCGAAAGCGUGGGGAGCAAACAGGAUUAGAUACCCCUGUAGUC
rnacentral:rRNA from 1 species